rnacentral:rRNA from 1 species
AUUGCGGCCCCCGGUCAUUCCCGGGGCCACGCCUGUCUGAGGGUCGGCAA